rnacentral:misc_RNA from 1 species
GGGAGAGCCAUACCUGACGUCCCGACCAUGUGUCUGUGACAGUCGGAUUAAGUGAUCUCACAGCGGUUAUCCACAUGUUAGGUGUACAGGUUACGCAUCCUUAGUGUGCUAUAGCAAAAUCCAUGCAUGACAUUCGGGGUUAGCACACUUACACCGAUUCGAGCGGUCAGUCGUCAGGAUCCGUG